rnacentral:sRNA from 1 species
CUUGUGGUAUCUUAAUUUUAGCUGCUACAACAAAUUUCCAUAGACUGUGUGGCUUAAACAACAGACAUUUAUUUCUCACAGUUCUGGAGGCUGGGAAGUCUGAGAGCAGGAUGCCACCAUGCGCAGCUUGUGGUGCAGGCUGUUCCUGAUUGUAGGCAGCUGCCUUCUUGCUGUGUCCUCCCAUGGCAGAGAGCAGACAGGAAGCAAGCUUUUUGUUGUCUCUAUUUAUAAGGGCACUAAUCACAUCACGAGGGCUCCACCCUCAUGGCCUAAUUGCCUCCAAAAGGCCCCGUCUCCAAAUACCAUGUUUUGGGGAAUUUGAGUUUCAACAUGUGAAUUUGGGAAGGACACAAACAUUUAGUCCAUAGCAUGAAGCUAAUUCCAUUUCAUCAGUUACAUCACAUUGUGCUCUGCUUGGGGAUUAAUAUUUCAGUCUCUGUGAGUUUUAUGUGUUUUACUACGCAAGUAUUCUUUCGUCAGAUACUACUAGAUGGGAAGAUAAACAAAAAUGUUAAUGUAUAAAUUACAUCUGAUUUUUUUUUUUUAACUAAAGGUCUGGAAUUAACUUUCUUCUCUGGUGUAUAUGGAACCUGUAUUGGUGCUAUAAAUAAAUUUGGAGCAGAAGAGAAAAGCCUUAUUGGACUUUCUGGCAUUUUCAUCGGCAUUGGAGAAAUUUUAGGUGGAAGCCUCUUCGGCCUGCUGAGCAAGAACAAUCGUUUUGGUAGAAAUCCAGUUGUGCUGUUGGGCAUCCUGGUGCACUUCAUAGCUUUUUAUCUAAUAUUUCUCAACAUGCCUGGAGAUGCCCCGAUUGCUCCUGUUAAAGGAACUGACAGCAGUGCUUAC